UACGAAGGGUGCAAGCGUUACUCGGAAUUACUGGGCGUAAAGCGUGCGUAGGUGGUUUGUUAAGUCUGUUGUGAAAGCCCCGGGCUCAACCUGGGAAUGGCAAUGGAUACUGGCAGGUUAGAGUGCGGUAGAGGGUAGUGGAAUUCCCGGUGUAGCGGUGAAAUUCGUAGAUAUUCGGAAGAACACCAGUGGCGAAGGCGGCUCGCUGGACAUGUAUUGACGCUGAGGUGCGAAAGCGUGGGGAGCAAACAGG
rnacentral:rRNA from 1 species